rnacentral:rRNA from 1 species
AGUGAACGCUGGCGGUAGGCCUAACACAUGCAAGUCGAACGGCAGCACAGUAAGAGCUUGCUCUUACGGGUGGCGAGUGGCGGACGGGUGAGGAAUACAUCGGAAUCUACUUUUUCGUGGGGGAUAACGUAGGGAAACUUACGCUAAUACCGCAUACGCCCUACGGGUGAAAGCAGGGGAUCUUCGGACCUUGCGCGAUUGAAUGAGCCGAUGUCGGAUUAGCUAGUUGGCGGGGUAAAGGCCCACCAAGGCGACGAUCCGUAGCUGGUCUGAGAGGAUGAUCAGCGACACUGGAACUGAGACACGGUCCAGACGCCUACGGGAGGGAGCAGUGGGGAAUAUUGGACAAUGGGCGCAAGCCUGAUCCAGCCAUACCGCGUGGGUGAAGAAGGCCUUCGGGUUGUAAAGACCUUUUGUUGGGAAAGAAAAGCAGCAGGUUAAUACCCCGCUGUUCUGACGGUACCCAAAGAAUAAGCACCGGCUAACUUCGUG